rnacentral:lncRNA from 1 species
AUCUGAGUCAUUUGCUGUUUUUUUUUUUUCCCUCGAGAUUUUAUCCCACCAACUACUGAUGUCCCACAUUCAUCAACAGGACAUGGCUCUGAUGAGACUGAGGAAGGGAGGCUGCCAUGCCCAUGACCUAUAUUUAGCUUUGAAACAUGGGCCACUGCCACAGCCCACUGGAAACUCUCCAUCUUUCAAGACAGAUCACAACCCUCAAUUGAAAAACACUAGAAUAUGCCAAGGAGUGAAGAGGGCUCUUUCCAAGAGUGUAAUUGCUUCUCUGCUCCAUUAUUAACCUGUGAGACUUAAAUAUUUUUAGUUCUGAAGGGCCUUUGCUCAUUCUUCAGUAAAUAAGUUGUCAACAUGAAUGAGGGAAAACCCAGCAAAUUCACUGUUCUUAUGUUUCUCUAGAAGCCAAUACAAGCUUCAAGCUAUAUUUCCACACUACUGGAGUUCUUGUCAAGAAACUGGUAUGUACCCCAAAGAGGCAUGAGUAGCAAGUUUGGGCUGGUGCAGUCUGCACCUAUUUAAUAACAAAAGAAUCAGUCAGCACCUAUUUAAUAAUAGACUCAUAUAAAGUGGCCUAAAAUUCCAAAACUUUUGUUUUCCAGUGCGUAGCCACUUGCCACAUGUGGCUGUAUGUUUUUAUAUUUGAAUUCAUUUAAAAUUUAGAGUUCAGUUUCUCAGUCUCACUCACUACCUUUCACCAGGCUGGUGGCUACCAUACUGAACAGCACAGGAUUAUGUGUCUGUGAUUGCAGAAAGUUCUAUUGGGUAGCAUUCACCUAGAAUGGCCCUGGGUCCUUCUGAAGGUGGUAGGCUCACAUUCUUGCACCAGUGGUUCUCAUCUCUGCCUGUGUAUAUGUAUGAAUUUAUUCAUGUUUUUGUGGUGCUGGAACUCAGACCCACAGCCUAAUGCAUGAUAGGCAAACACUCUACUACUGACCACACCCGCUCCUUCUGCCUGCACAUGUUGAGAGCCACAGUUUAGUGUGUGUGGGGGGGGUGAGGUUCUUUGCCUCACCUCUGUUGGCCCCCAAAUUUUAGACCAUCACAAGCAGAAGGGAGGAGGAUGCAAAAUGCCACGGCACCAAGCCAAAUGACGGCUCUUUUUGGAAAAAUUGCACCACCGAAUGACACCAUCAGCAAAGAUACCCCAGCACUACCACAAUUCGCUGUACCAACAGAUAGUUCACAAUGCAUGCAAGUGAUACAUAGUCCAGGCAAGUUCUGCAAACAGUUCAAAGCAGAGAAAUCUAUUAAUAUGUCCAUUUCUUCUCAAAGUAAAUCGACUCCUUGAUUGAGCAUCGCUUGCUGAGUUAUUAUUCAUUGAUGCAUCAGUUUAUACAGUUUGUUGUGAUAGCUAUCGCAGAAGCUGUAGUUUGGUUUUAUCUUUGUCUUCACCGGCACUGGGAUGAAGAUAGGAAUUCUGGCAAUGAUGGCUAAAAAAAAUUAUGUAACAUUCCAGCAGGCACUAAAAGAAAGCAAUUUUCUAAACAAUUUACAUUAUCCUGAACAGAAUUAUUAAAUAUAAUGAAAAGGAAAGGUAAAAGUAAACAAACAGAUCUGUUAACCUCCUUUUUUGUUCACAUAUUAAAACAAUCCUCAACAGCUAUUUACCCAAUUUAAAUUAAACCAUUUAAAUCACGUGAAUAAAAAAAAAAAAAUUCGGAUCCAUUUUUUCAUGAGCACUCCUCAUAUAUAUGGACAUAUGCACAUACAGACAUACAACACAAAACAGAAGUGUGCACACAUAACAUACAACACAUAAGACAAUAGUAAAGGCCUUGUAGCUUUACACAGGUGAAAUCUCCAUUGCAAUGUUUAAAAACUCCACAGUCUGAUCAGAAAAACAUUAACCUAGGUCUGUAUGAGCUCAAAAAAUAAAAUAGAACUUCGUGAUGUGGGAAAAGGC